rnacentral:rRNA from 1 species
UGGGGAAUUUUGGACAAUGGGCGAAAGCCUGAUCCAGCAAUGCCGCGUGUGUGAAGAAGGCCUUCGGGUUGUAAAGCACUUUUGUCCGGAAAGAAAUCCUUGGCUCUAAUACAGUCGGGGGAUGACGGUACCGGAAGAAUAAGCACCGGCUAACUACGUGCCAGCAGCCGCGGUAAUACGUAGGGUGCAAGCGUUAAUCGGAAUUACUGGGCGUAAAGCGUGCGCAGGCGGUUUGCUAAGACCGAUGUGAAAUCCCCGGGCUCAACCUGGGAACUGCAUUGGUGACUGGCAGGCUAGAGUAUGGCAGAGGGGGGUAGAAUUCCACGUGUAGCAGUGAAAUGCGUAGAGAUGUGGAGGAAUACCGAUGGCGAAGGCAGCCCCCUGGGCCAAUACUGACGCUCAUGCACGAAAGCGUGGGGAGCAAACAGGAUUAGAUACCCUGGUAGUCCACGCCCUAAACGAUGUCAACUAGUUGUUGGGGAUUCAUUUCCUUAGUAACGUAGCUAACGCGUGAAGUUGACCGCCUGGGGAGUACGGUCGCAAGAUUAAACUC